CCUACGGGCGGCAGCAGUGAGGAAUAUUGGUCAAUGGACGAGAGUCUGAACCAGCCAAGUAGCGUGAAGGAUGACUGUCCAAUGGAUUGUAAACUUCUUUUAUCUGGGAAUAAAACGUUCCACGCGUGGGAUGUUGUAUGUACCAUAUGAAUAAGGAUCGGCUAACUCCGUGCCAGCAGCCGCGGUAAUACGGAGGAUCCGAGCGUUAUCCGGAUUUAUUGGGUUUAAAGGGUGCGUAGGCGGGUUGUUAAGUCAGGUGUGAAAGUUUGGGGCUCAACCGUAAAAUUGCAGUUGAAACUGGCAGUCUUGAGUACAGUAGAGGUGGGCGGAAUGCGUGGUGUAGCGGUGAAAUGCUUAGAUAUCGCGAAGAACUCCGAUUGCGAAGGCAGUGCACUGGAGUGCAACUGACACUGAGGCUCGAAAGUGUGGGGAUCGAACAGGAUUAGAUACCCGGGUAGUC
rnacentral:rRNA from 1 species